AUACGGAGGGCGCAAGCGUUGCCCGGAAUCACUGGGUGUAAAGGGUGCGUAGGCGGGGCUGUAAGUCAGAGGUGAAAGCCCUCGGCUCAACCGGGGAAUUGCCUCUGAUACUGCAGCUCUUGAGUCCCGGAGAGGCCGCUGGAAUUCCUGGUGUAGCGGUGAAAUGCGUAGAUAUCAGGAGGAACACCGGAGGCGAAGGCGGGCGGCUGGACGGGGACUGACGCUGAGGCACGAAAGCGUGGGGAGCAAACAGGAUUAGAAACCCGAGUAGUCC
rnacentral:rRNA from 1 species